UACGGAGGGUGCAAGCGUUAUCCGGAUUCACUGGGUUUAAAGGGUGCGUAGGAGGGCAGGUAAGUCAGUGGUGAAAUCUCCGAGCUUAACUUGGAAACUGCCGUUGAUACUAUCUGCCUUGAAUAUUGUGGAGGUGAGCGGAAUAUGUCAUGUAGCGGUGAAAUGCUUAGAUAUGACAUAGAACACCAAUUGCGAAGGCAGCUCACUACACGGUCAUUGACACUGAGGCACGAAAGCGUGGGGAUCAAACAGG
rnacentral:rRNA from 1 species